rnacentral:lncRNA from 1 species
UAAUUGAGUUUGGUUUCCCGAAUUAAAAUUUGUUCGGAUUGGGAUUGGAGAAAUCAAGUUGGAUCUUUGUCAUUGUUGAACCUAGAAGUCGAGGUUCUCGGGCGUGGUUCUAUCUCCGAUAUAUUGAAAGCAACACUUGAGGUCCAAUUCUAUAUUCUCUUUAACUUUUUAUGUAAAUAUGGAUGAUUUGUUAUUUGAUAUGUUUGAAUCUUUGUUUUUGUGUUGGCUGAUGUUGAAUUUGAAUGUGGAAAUUUGGAUUAGUAGUCGAAGAAUUGAUUAAUUAUUUUGAGAAUGAAUGUGGGAAGGGAUUGAUCUCGAUAAAAGUAAAUUUGGAUAAUUUUUGAUUCAUUGAUGAUGUUGAAAUGUGAUAAGAAUCAUGAUAGGUCGAGUUGGAUAUGAAAAUAGUAGGUUCGGGUAGGCAAAUUUAGAACUUUUAGAUUGUUGAAUGUUGAAAAUGUUUGUUGAAUGGUUUUAUUUUAUGAAUUUGGAUCGAUUGUAUUCAUUCGUCGGGGAAUGCCCCGAGGUCACAUUUGUAUUCAUUCACCGAGGAAUGCCCCGAGGUCACAUUUGUAUUCAUUCACCGGGGAAUGCCUGGUGAAUGCCCCGACGUAUCAUGUACUCGGAGGACGCCCGUGAUGAAGGUACGAAGCAUCGGAUAUGGCAUUGGAGCGUAGUUUAGGAUUAGUGUAGGUUAGCGUAGGUUUACUUUUCAGUACCUUUUUCAUUUUGGGUUGUAAUAAUUGGACUGAACACUAUAUUUUUGGACUAGUUUUGUUUGUUUGAUUGAUCAUUUUCGUGUGUUUUUGUGUAGUUUGUACAUGUUGUAGUAUCAAAUUAGCCGAUAUGCUCCACCAAGAUACUGUGGUCGAACCACAGGAUCGAGAGGUUCCUAACACCUUCCCCUCGGUCAACAGAAUUCCUUAACCAAAAUAUCUAUUUGCGGAUCAUUUUAAAAGAUUCAAAAUCAUUUUUUUUGACAAAGGAUUUCCAAAGGUGACAUGGCACACCUGAUUUAUGCCAAGUGGCAACUCUGAGUUUUUGAUUAUUCAUGAUCCUUUUCAAAACAAAUCUUCUUUUUUGGCACUUCAAUAAUAAAACCCUUUCAAGCCUUAAAAACUCAAACUAAUCUUUUUAGUUAAAAAAGGGGUGUGAUAGCCCUGGAGACUCUGCUGGGGAUUUUUCAGAAUUCAAGCUUAUUUUGGAGUUGUAUCGGCUUAGUUGACACUAUAGGUGUAUAGACAGUUUGUUUAUGUUGUUUUGUGUUAUUGUUUACCAUUGUUGAGUGACUAUGUUCUCUUUGUUUACAGGUUUUACUUUAUGUGUUACCGCUUUAUAUCUGGCAUCAUGUGCAUAACCUGAGUUUUUCUUUCUGCAACAAGUUCGUAGUACACGUGAGUACACAAUCUAUAGUUGAGUCACCUUUAUUUUAGGAGGGGGAGCCGUUGGGUUGUAUGGAGUAGGUGGACAACUAAAACAAUCCACUAUCGACGAUACGCUCCCCCGAACACCCUUGUUAGUGGACCCCAACGUAGGUCAGCCUUUAGGUCAUGCUUAUUUGCAUCAUAUUGAGACCUAGCAAGACCCACGUGGCCCUUUGCAGGAGACUCACCUCUAAAGCAUCCCUACGUGCUAAAUGUAGCAUCUUUGAGGGUAACAUGAUCAUUUGACGGACUGAUUUGGGGAAAACAUGUGUUAGAAGUAAAGUGCGUAGGUAAGAAAUGUUGAGAAAAAAAUAAAAGUGAAAAGUGAAUCGAAAAGAAAAAAAGAGAGUUUUUAGUUUUUAGAGUUCUUUAUGGCUUUUGUUUUCCCCAAUUCAAAAAUUAAUUUAUUUUUUUUAAAAAAAUUUUGCACUCAUUUUUCAAAAAUAAAAAAAUACAUCAAAAAGAUUUUCCUUUUAUUUCAUUUAGUAAGCAUUCACAAUUCGAAAACUCCAAAACUAUUUUUUAAGAGCUUUUUAUGAAAGAAAAAUUCAAACAAAGGGUGGUAGAAAUUUUGUACAUUUCAUAUAAUGAAAAUACCAAAAAGAUUUUCUUUCAUAGCUGUUGAUGUCAUUUUUUAUGUGAAGUGUCAAAUUAAAAACUCACAAAAAAAGAUUUUGAUAUGUUGUUCAUCGUGUGUCUUUGGUCGUGUCUCAAGUCAGGGUGCAAUUUAUUAUUUAAUCAUUAAUUAUCCAAUCUGGACGAACUACGCACCCCUGAUUCUCCUAUUUUGGGAGUGAGCUAUGUAGGGAGCCUAUUAUAGGUUCGGGGAUCUUAUUUAAAAAAUUCAAAAAAGAUUUUCUUCACUCUUUAUUAGAGUAGUUGUUUCAUAUACAUUUUUAAAAUAAAAUAACAAAAAAGAUUUUCCUUUAAUAGGUUAAAGUUUCGUUUUCGUAUGAAAUUCAAAAUCUAAAUCCCAAAAAGAUUUUCUUCACUCUUUAUUAGAGUAGUUGUUUCAUAUACAUUUUUAAAAUAAAAUAACAAAAAAGAUUUUCCUUUAAUAGGUUAAAGUUUCGUUUUCGUAUGAAAUUCAAAAUCUAAAUCCCAAAAAGAUUUUCUUUGGUAUCAUAGGUUUCAUUUUGUAUAGGGAUUUUCAAAGCUGAAAAACUCAAAAAGAUUUUCAUCAAUUCUUUUGACAAUUUGUUGUUUUCUUUUAAAGUUUCAAUAAAAAGAAAAAAGAAAGGAAAAAGAGUUUAAUUGGCCAUUUUGGCAAGACUUCACGAACUACGCACACCUGAUUCUCCUCUUUUGGGAGUGAGAUACGUAGGCGCCCUUCUUGGGUUCGGUGAUCUUUUCUAAAAUGAUAAGAAAUUAAAAAAUGGUUUUGAAAAAAGGUGUGGAACUCUAACGCAUUUGAUGUUUCUUUUGUUCAGUUAGUUUAAGGUGGUUGGUUUGUGGCAUUUUGGCUGGUCCUCUAUAGUGCACCAAGUUACAUAGAAAGUUGCCAACAAGGAUACCGAGUUUAUUGUCACUAAUUAGAUAGGGAGUUCGGGGAAUGAGAAUUUAGGAACUAAUGAAGAGAUUCAAAAAUUAAGGUAACAAAUGAUAGAAAUGCAUCGAGCUUGGGCNNNNNNNNNNNNNNNNNNNNNNNNNNNNNNNNNNNNNNNNNNNNNNNNNNNNNNNNNNNNNNNNNNNNNNNNNNNNNNNNNNNNNNNNNNNNNNNNNNNNNNNNNNNNNNNNNNNNNNNNNNNNNNNNNNNNNNNNNNNNNNNNNNNNNNNNNNNNNNNNNNNNNNNNNNNNNNNNNNNNNNNNNNNNNNNNNNNNNNNNNNNNNNNNNNNNNNNNNNNNNNNNNNNNNNNNNNNNNNNNNNNNNNNNNNNNNNNNNNNNNNNNNNNNNNNNNNNNNNNNNNNNNNNNNNNNNNNNNNNNNNNNNNNNNNNNNCAACACUAUCCAAAAAACACUUCCAUUCCUUUCCUCACUCCUCAACAUAAAACUACCACUUACUAGGAUCCAUCUGUUGUUCAUGCUUUUGCAGCACCAACCCCGCUUAAAGCUCCUACUUUUAAUUCCAAUCCAACGGUUGUUAUUCCUCACUCUAAAAGUGACCCUGUAUUGAAUAUUUCAAGGGAUCAACAUUAUGCUCCCAAGCUCACAUUUAAGUCAACUGAUCCUUAUGGCUAUACUCAUCCGACUGAAUUUACUUUUAAUGCCGAAAAGCCUGUUAUAAAAGAAGAACAAGAAGAAAUAACCAAAAAAUUGUGAAGUGUGGAACUGGCUACGAAGAAUCUCCAAGGGCCUAGGGGGUACAAAAGUGUCUCAUAUAAAGAUCGGUGCAUGUUUCCAGGUGUUCAUCUCCCUUUCGAUUUUAAGAUGCCAAAGUUUGAGAAGUAUGAUGGACAUGGGGAUCCGGUGGCACAUUUGAGACGUUAUUAUAACCAACUAAGAGGCAUUGAAGGCAAAGAAGAACUGCUCGUGGCUUACUUUGGUGAGAGUCUUUUGGGUCUAGCUUCGGAAUGGUUUGUUGACCAAGACAUUGACAAGUGGAUUAGUUGGUAUGACCUAGCUAAUGGAUUUGUGCAACAAUUUCAAUACAAUGUGGAGUUGAUCCCUGAAGAAAAAUCCCUAAAUAGUAUAAAAAAGAAGAAUACUGAGAGUUUCAGGGAGUAUGCAAUCAGAUGGCACGAAUAAGCUGCUAGAGUAAAACCACCAAAGAAAGAAAGAAAAAUAAUGAAGGUGUUUAUUCAAACACAGGAUGAAACAUAUUAUCAACACUUGUUACCUACAUUAGGCAAUUCAUUUAUUGAGGUCCUUAAAAUGGGGGAGAUGAUAGAAGAGGGAAUUAAGACUUGUCGUAUUUUGAGUUUUGCAACAUUGAAAGCGACAACUCAAGAAAUUCAAAAGGGUUCAGAAAGUGUUGGGGAGAUAAAGAAUGAGGAAGUUUCAUCUUCUAUUGUGGUUGGACAGCGGGCACGGUCAAGAAGACCCCAUUUUCGUCACUCUCAGCUCAAACCUAAGUUCAUGCAUAAGCUCCACAUAAUCACUCCCAAAAUUUAUUAUACUCUGCUCAUCUACCUUCGUAUCUAGAAUAUAAUGCACAACCACAUGUUUAAACCCUAUGUUACCCAAAGUGGAACACACUAACUCCCCAGAGUCAUCCUCUAACUCCACAAACAUACCAAAACCCUUCUAAGACUGAUUUUUAAUCCAAGCCAAAUGAUGAAAUGAGGCAGAAGUCGAGAGAUCACUUCACACCAAUUGGAGAGUCGUAUGCCAGUUUAUUUCAGAGAUUAGUACAAUGGGGCAUGAUCACUUCUCUCCUUGGUUGCACUCUUAAUCGACGUUCAAGAAAUUUUGAUCCUAAUGUACGAUGUGCGUAUCAUUCUGAUGCUCAGGGUCAUAGUAUUGAAGAUUGUCGAGAUUUGAAAAGAGAAAUUGAAAAGAUGAUUCGAGAUAAAUCAAUUAUGGUGCAGAACAUUGACAGUGUGGGAAGCUCUAGUCAUGCUGAUAUGCAAACCGGUGGCUAAAUUGUCAGGCUAAGCAAUUAAGAAGUCACCCCUCUCCCUACUAGGAACAGGUCUGGUAGUUUUUUUUAGUUUUCUUUUUUGUGUUUUUGAAUUAUUUCAGGGUUUUAGUUUGGGAUCUCUCUUGUUUUGUCCUUUUGUCGUUUAGGUUCAAAUCCUUCUAUCUUUUAUUUCAACUAAAUGAAUUGUCCUUUUUCCUUUGCGUUUUAAAUAUGUGUAAUUUGUUUGUUUUCUUUAUACAGUACAUUUUAUGUUGACUCUGGUGAUAUGACAUGCUUGCGGAAUUUUUAGCCAGAUCUUAAAAUCCAAUUUAACCAUGAAACAUUGGAUCAGAGUGCUAAAGUUAGGAGAAACAUCUGAGAAAAUGGUAGACUGCUAAGACAUUUGGUGACAAGUUCAAGCCUUCUUUGAAAAUUAAGGCCAUUUAUUUUGAGAAUCACAAGAAUAACUUGGUCAUCAAUUGAAAGACAUAUCUCAAUUACGUCAAAUAGUGUCUGCAUGAUCCUAUCAAGAGGAACAGAAAGAAAAUCAACUCCACGAAAGCAUGAGUCAUUCAAAGUGAGGGAUGUACAACAAAUGUGGAGUUGUAUGUUUGAAAAGUAUAGAAAAAGAGGUGACACACAUGCUUGGGGCAAGUUAGUAUUGUAAAACAUGUCAUAAGUUAUGUUGAUCGUACACUUUCACAUUGCAUGCUAUGUACUAGUAUUUUCAAGGAUUGAUAUGACGAAGGCAUUUUAUUCUGCUAUCCAAAUAUUGUGUCAUCCUUUGUUUACCCCAUUUGAGCCUUAGUUUUAUUUUCUUUCAUACCCCUCUUUUGGAAUUAAGAUAAAGCCAGCAAAGCUCAAAAGAAAAGUAUCGAGCAAGAGAAUAGAGNNNNNNNNNNNNNNNNNNNNNGAAAGAGAGAAAAAUAUGUCCAUAAAAGAAGAAAAGGGUGUCAAGAACUUAGAGUUAGAAAAAUCACAAAGAAAAAAAGGUAAAAAAAAGAAGAAGAAGAACCAGUCAGAAUUAAGCAAAAAAGAAUAAGCUGUCAGAACUACACAUGAACUGAUUCUCCUCUCUCGGGGGUGAGAUAUGUAGGCUGACCUACUCCGAACUCGGUCCAACCAUAUAAACAAUUUAGAGUCACCCAGUCAAAAGAAACUGGGGCAUGAGUUAAUCCUCAUUAUUUUGAGUCGAUUCCAAAAGUUGUAAGUCCUACCCCACUUCAAGUGUUGUUUGGGCCUCAUGUCAUCCUUUCUUUCUAACCUUAUCCAAAAGUCAAGUUAUAACCAAAGAAAUACCUUCAGAUCAAUCUCUGAGAAUGCUAAGGCUAAGCAUGUAAUGGAUAUGAUGACACAUUUUGGGAAUUACUCGUCUUCGUCAGCAUAAGAAAUCAGGAGAGAAAUAAAAAUAAGAGUCUUAUUGGUGAAAACCCUCACGAGCACCAUAAAGUUAUGGUAAGUUAAGAGAUAUAAAAUGAGAAAGUCUUAUUGGUGAAAACUCCAUGAGAACCAUAAGGCGAUGGUGAGUUGAGAGAAAAAUUAGAUAGACUUGUGGGUAAAAAUCCUUCAAUGUGCCACUAGCUGAAUGAGCUCUUUGAAUGCAAUGGGUCCAAGCAAGUAACUCAGUUUCAGAGCCGUUAACUCAAGAACAAUUGGUAGAAAGCUUGGAUGGAAAGAUUAGGAAGCUUGAUCCAAAAUGCAUGGCAUAAUCAUUAGAUUUGACUACCAUUUCUAGAUAAAUUUUUCAUUUCUUUAUUUCAAAUGGGGACAUUCUUUGUCUUUUCUUUCUUCUCUUUAUUUUUUAUUUUAUUUUCUUUAGUCAGUUGUCCAAAUAAAAAUCAUUGUCAUUUUUUUCUCUCUUGUCUUUGAGUCAAGUCCAUGUCAAAACAAGUGAGAAAAGAUUUCAAAACUAGCUACCAGCUUCUUCAAUUGUGUAAAGUAAGACAAAAGGCCAACACAUGAAAGAGACAUAAUUGUGAGACGAAAUAAAGCAUGCAGAAAGUUGUGUCAACCGACAAGUCUGGAAACUCAUGGAAAUACCAAGGUUCAAAAGGUUUAUCUGAGAAACAUGACAAAGUAGAGAUACUGUAUCUGUUUUAGAGUCACUCUUCAUUAUCUGAGUUCGGGUCAAUGAUGCAGUAAGCCAGUGACACAUGCUAAUGGUUGAAAGCAAGAUUAAAUGUGACAGGGGCAAGAGAGAUUUCCACGAAAGCCAAAGCCACAAACCAGCCACCAUGUUUUUAAACAAAUAAGUUUUCUUUGUAUGAAACAAGAGCACAUGCUACCUUCGAAUCAAGGAUUUCAAAGCCUAAACAUCAAAGGCUGUAAUAUUCUCACUUCUACAAAUGCAAGAAGCAAUGUUGCUGCAUAGAUUUUGUAUUUAAAACCAUGGUAAAACUCAUCAUCCAAUACCUCUAGGAGACACACUUCCUUAUUUGGGUAAUUCAAGCAACAUUUGUAAGGAGACAUACUUUCUUGUUUAGGUGAUUCAAGCAACAUUUGUAAGGGGACACACUUCCUUGUUUGAAAAAUUCAAGCAAUAUUUAUAAGGAGACGCACUUCCUUAUUUUGGUAAUUCAAGCUGCAUUGGUAGGAAGACGCACUUUUUUAUUUCGGUAAUUCAAGCAGCAUUUGUAAGGAGACACACUUCCUUGUUUAGGUAAUUCAACCGGCAUUUGUAAGGAGACAAACUUCCUUAUUUGGUGAAUUCAAGCAAACAUUUUUGAGGAGAUGCACUUCCUUGUCUGGAUAAUUCAAGCAACAUUUGUAAAGAGACGCACUUCCUUAUUUGGAUAAUUCAAGCAAUAUUUGUAAGGAGACACACUUCCUUGUUUGGUAAUUCAAGUGGUAUUUGUAAGGAGACACACUUUCUUGUUUGCACAUUUCAAGCAACAUUUGUAAGAAGAUGCACUUCCUUGUUUCGGUAAUUCAAGUAGCAUUUGUAAAGAGAUGCACUUCCUUGUUUGGGUAAUUCAACCGACAUUUGUAAGGAGACACACUUCCUUGUUUGGACAAUUCAAGCAAUAUUUGUAAGGAGACACACUUUCUUGUUUGGUAAUUCAAGUGGUAUUUGUAAGGAAAUGCACUUCCUUGUUUGGACAAUUCAAGCAACAUUUAUAAGAAGACGUACUUCUUUGUUUAGGUAAUUCAAGUGGAAUUUGUAAGGAGACACACUUCCUUGUUUUGGUAAUUCAAGAGGCAUUGGUAAGGAGACGGACUUUCUUGUUUGGACAAUUCAGGCAACAUUUGUAAGGAGACGCACUUUCUUAUUUGGGCAAUUCAAGCAACAUUUGUAAGGAGACAAACUUCCUUGUUUGGGAAAUUCAAGCAACAUUUAUAAGGAGACGCACUUCCUUGUUUGGAAAAUUCAAGAAACAUACUUAAGGAGCCACACUUCCUUGUUUGGCUAAUUCAAGCAACAUUGGUAAAGAGACACACUUUAUUAUUUUGGUAAUUUAAGCGACAUUGGUAAGGAGAUGCACUUCCUUGUUUUGGUAAUUUUAGAGGCAUUGGUAAGGAGAUGCACUUUCCUAUUUGGGUAUUUCUAGCAACAUUUGUAAGGAGACGCACUUUCUUAUUUGGAUAAUUUAAGCAGCAUUGGUAAAGAGACACACUUCCUUGUUUUGGUAAUUUAAGCGGCAUUGGUAAGGAGAUGCACUUUCUUGUUUUGGUAAUUUAAGCAGCAUUGGUAAGGAGACGUACUUCCUUGUUUGGACAAUUCAAGAAACAUUUGUAAGGAGAUGCACUUCCUCAUAUCCUCAUUUGGGUAAUUCAAGCAACAUUGGUAAGGAGACACACUUCCUUGUUUUGGUAAUUUAAGUGGAAUUGGUAAGGAGACAAACUUCCUUGUUUUGGUAAUUCAAAAGGCAUUGGUAAGGAGACACACUUUCUAGUUUGGGUAUUUCUAGCGCCAUUUGUAAGGAGACACAUUUCUUUGUUUGGGCAAUUCAAGCGGCAUUUUGUAAGGAGAUGCACUUCCUUGUUUGAGUAAUUCAACCGGCAUUUGUAAGGAGACGCACUUACUUGUUUUGGUAAUUCAAGCAAUAUCUGUAAGGAGACGUACUUCCUUGUUUGGGUAAUUCGAGCGGCAUUUGUAAGGAGACGCACUUCCUUGUUUUGAUAACUCAAGGAGCAUUGGAGCCUGCCCAAAGCACAAGGCGAAUAAAUGGAAAGUCAAGCAACAAGGUGAAACCAUUGAAAGCCAAGUAACAAAUUAAAAAAUUAUAAGUCAGGAUCCCGCCUAAAGAAUAGGGUGCUGAAACUCAAGUCAAGAGUUCAAAAGAAGCUGUAUAGAUAAGAAUUUUGUAAUUUUAUUUAUCUUUUUAACUCUUGUAGUUUUUUAUUUUUUGAUGUAAUGAUAGAGCCGCAAUCGGAACCUCAAUGGUACCUCACUCGACUCUACAACUCGGUAUAUUCCAUCUCCUUCCAAUCCUUUAAGAUACCUGUCACUUGAUUCCCUCAUAACUUGGGUAGAUAGGAUGUCCUAAGUCAAGACUUGGUGUCCCUCCUUCCUUCUGUUUCAUUCUUUUAAUAAUGGUCGGGACAAAAUUCUAUCUUGUUGUCUACUUCUUUGUCUGAAAACACUUCAUGCUUACAUUCAAAGGGGGCAUACCUUGGACACCUAAUUUUAUUCCGUCAAAAUAUUUCUUAUUUUGAUAUCACACAAUUUAACCCCAUUCUUAUAACAUUUCCCCAAGAAAAUAAAUAACUACCCCAUCUUUUACUUAUUUAUUUAUUUAUUUAUUUUUGUUUCAUUUUUAUCAAAAAAUAAUAAGUCAUAACAAACUUUGUCUCAUUCUAACAUUCCAACAACCUACCCAAUCAAAAAUUGACAAGUAACCCCUACCCUUCCAAUUAAAAAAAAACAACACCUCACCACUCACCAAACCACCUCACCACCACCCCUCCACGUGACCCCCUACCUUUUUUUGUUCACACAUUUUCUUUCCAUCUCCAUAUAUAGAACAAGACAAUACACAAAAGAGGAGGAUUCAUUAAGGGCCCACAGAAUAACAAAAAACACAAAACAGCACCAUCACCUCACAAUUUCAUAGGCACACAAUCAUCUUUUUCAUGAUAUAUUCACUCACAUUCACUGAUAAGAAGGAGGAGAAGAUACUCACCCUUAACACAACCUCACACUCUCUCCAUUUUAUCCAUUGAUUACACAAAAAGAACACUACACACAGAAAAUGAGGUAGAUCGAGAGAGAGAGAGUAGCAUAGAGGAGACACGUGAAAAAGAGGGGAAAAGAGAUUUGGGUUUCUGUCUUUUUCACCUUCAUCCAUGCACACACAUGAAAAACACGCGCACACAGUAAAAAAACAAAAAAAUGAGCAAAAUGACAUGAGAAUCGAAGGAGAAAAUAGAAUUCAGGUUUCUGGUUAGUGUUCCGGCAGCCCCUUCGUCGGAAUCUCAUCGUUCUCUUUUGAUUUCUGGGUGAAUACAAUCAGGAAAUGAUAAUAUUGACGGAAUUCUUGAUUCAUCAUUACUACCGCUGUCUAGGCUCACCGAAUCUUAGGCUACACUGAUUUUGACUUUCUGUUGCAUUGUUGGAGUGUUGGGGUUCAUCUGUUUUCACGUUUCAUCAUUGAAACCGGGUUUCCAUCUUGUCAAAUUGCUUAUAUUUGGUUUUAUUUUUAUUCUUGGGUUUUUAAGAUUCAAAUUUCAUCUUUCUAUUCGGGGAUUUGCUAUUGCCGUUCGGAGUUGUUGAUUCAGAAGUUUAUAAUUGAGUUUGGUUUCCCGAAUUAAAAUUUGUUUGGAUUGGGAUUGGCGAUAUUGAGUUGGAUCUUUGUAAUUGUUGAAGCUCAAAGUCAAGGUUCUCGGGUGCGGUUCUAUCUCUGAUAUAUUAAAAGCGACACUUGUGGUCAAUUUUAUCUUCUCUUUAAUUUUUUUACAUGAAUAUGAAUGAUUUGUUAUUUGAUAUGUUUGAAUCAUUGUUUUUGUGUUGGUUGAUGUUGGAUUUGAAUGUGGAAACUUGGAUUACUAGUCAAAGAAUUUAUUAAUUAUUUUGAGAAUGAAUGCGGGAAGGGAUUGAUCUCGAUAAAAGUAAAUUUGGAUAAUUUUUGAUUCAUUGAUGAUGUUGAAAUGUGAUAAGAAUUAUGAUAGGUCGAGUUGGAUAGGCAAAUAGUAGGUUCGGGUAGGCAAAUUUAGAACUUUUGGAUUGUUGAAAAUAUUUGUUGAAUGGUUUUAAUUUAUGAAUUUGGAUUGAUUGUAUUCAUUCGCCGAGGAAUGCCCCAAUGUCAUAUUUGUAUUCAUUCACCGGGGAAUGCCCCGACGUAUCAUAUACUCGGAGGACUCCCGUGAUAAAGGCCCAAAGCAUCGGGCAAGACAUUGGAGCGUAGUUUAGGAUCAGUGUAGGUUAGCGUAGGUUUACUUUUUAGUACCUUUUUCAUUUUGGGUUGUAAUAAUUGGA